UACGGAGGGGGCUAGCGUUGUUCGGAAUUACUGGGCGUAAAGCGCACGUAGGCGGCUUUGUAAGUUAGAGGUGAAAGCCCGGAGCUCAACUCCGGAAUUGCCUUUAAGACUGCAUCGCUAGAAUUGUGGAGAGGUAAGUGGAAUUCCGAGUGUAGAGGUGAAAUUCGUAGAUAUUCGCAAGAACACCAGUGGCGAAGGCGGCUCACUGGCCCGAUACUGACGCUGAGGCACGAAAGCGUGGGGAGCAAACAGG
rnacentral:rRNA from 1 species